UUAGCUGGUGACUCUAUUAACACGGAUAGAACUUUUAUUGGAAAGCAUAUUAUGCCAAAACUCGAAAGUCGUUUAAGUUAUAGAUUGAUAGACGUGUCUACUCUAAAAUAGUUGUUUAAGAUAAGUUGUAUACAUUUAAGAAGAAAAACGAGCACCGAAACAAAUCCAACAAUGAACAACGAACACAAAAUUGUAUGGUUUGAUGGUGAGGUGUUUGUCCGUUAGCUGGUGACUCUAUUUACACGGAUAGAACUUUUAUUGGAAAGAAUAUUAUGCCAAAACUCGAAAGUCGUUUGAGUUAUAGAUUGAUAGACGUGUCUACUCUAAAAUAGUUGUUUAAGAUAAGUUGUAUACAUUUAAGAAGAAAAACGAGCACCGAAACAAAUCCAACAAUGAACAACGAACACAAAAUUGUAUGGUUUGAUGGUGUUUGUCCGUUAGCUGGUGACUCUAUUUACACGGAUAGAACUUUUAUUGGAAAGCAUAUUAUGCCAAAACUCGAAAGUCGUUUGAGUUAUAGAUUGAUAGACGUGUCUACUCUAAAAUAGUUGUUUAAGAUAAGUUGUAUACAUUUAAGAAGAAAAACGAGCACCGAAACAAAUCCAACAAUGAACAACGAACACAAAAUUGUAUGGUUUGAUGGUGAGGUGUUUGUCCGUUAGCUGGUGACUCUAUUUACACGGAUAGAACUUUUAUUGGAAAGCAUAUUAUGCCAAAACUCGAAAUUCGUUUAAGUUAUAGAUUGAUAGACGUGUCUACUCUAAAAUAGUUGUUUAAGAUAAGUUGUAUACAUUUAAGAAGAAAAACGAGCACCGAAACAAAUCCAACAAUGAACAACGAACACAAAAUUGUAUGGUUUGAUGGUGAGGUGUUUGUCCGUUAGCUGGUGACUCUAUUUACACGGAUAGAACUUUUAUUGGAAAGCAUAUUAUGCCAAAACUCGAAAUUCGUUUAAGUUAUAGAUUGAUAGACGUGUCUACUCUAAAAUAGUUGUUUAAGAUAAGUUGUAUACAUUUAAGAAGAAAAACGAGCACCGAAACAAAUCCAACAAUGAACAACGAACACAAAAUUGUAUGGUUUGAUGGUGAGGUGUUUGUCCGUUAGCUGGUGACUCUAUUUACACGGAUAGAACUUUUAUUGGAAAGCAUAUUAUGCCAAAACUCGAAAUUCGUUUAAGUUAUAGAUUGAUAGACGUGUCUACUCUAAAAUAGUUGUUUAAGAUAAGUUGUAUACAUUUAAGAAGAAAAACGAGCACCGAAACAAAUCCAACAAUGAACAACGAACACAAAAUUGUAUGGUUUGAUGGUGAGGUGUUUGUCCGUUAGCUGGUGACUCUAUUUACACGGAUAGAACUUUUAUUGGAAAGCAUAUUAUGCCAAAACUCGAAAUUCGUUUAAGUUAUAGAUUGAUAGACGUGUCUACUCUAAAAUAGUUGUUUAAGAUAAGUUGUAUACAUUUAAGAAGAAAAACGAGCACCGAAACAAAUCCAACAAUGAACAACGAACACAAAAUUGUAUGGUUUGAUGGUGAGGUGUUUGUCCGUUAGCUGGUGACUCUAUUUACACGGAUAGAACUUUUAUUGGAAAGCAUAUUAUGCCAAAACUCGAAAUUCGUUUAAGUUAUAGAUUGAUAGACGUGUCUACUCUAAAAUAGUUGUUUAAGAUAAGUUGUAUACAUUUAAGAAGAAAAACGAGCACCGAAACAAAUCCAACAAUGAACAACGAACACAAAAUUGUAUGGUUUGAUGUUGAGGUGUGUAAUCAUUAUUAACUCUGCUUAAAUUAAUCAAAUAUUAACACAUACAUGGGCAUUUUUUGAGCAUAAUCGCCCACCAACAUUAGGUUUUCAAAUGAGAACCUACAUGUUUUAAUGCAGAUACCUACCUAUUGAAAUGAUUUAUAUAUGUAUUUUGUAUGUAUUAUUC
rnacentral:lncRNA from 1 species